AUGACCAUAUGCUGUUUUAUAACAUUAUAAAAUAAUUUUAGGUUUAGGAUUCCACAAUCACAUUCAUUUUUAGAAGCAAUUUAAUGAACCGAGUAAUUAAAAAUUAUUUACAUUUAUGUAUUAGAUAGUACAUUUGCAUUGUUUUAAUCCAAGAAAAAAAGGAUUAAAUAGUAAAAUCUUAUUUCCCUGGUCCCCAGCUCCCUUCAAACACAACCACUGCCCUCAAUUUCUAAUGUGUCCUUCAAAAAUAGGGAAUGCACAGGGAAGCAAAUGUGUGGGCAUUCUCUUAUUUAUUUUCCUUUUCUUUAAAUGGAAGUUAAAGUAAAUUGAUCUAGAUCUCGGUUUCUUAUCAGGACACGAGGGCUCCUUCAUUCUUUUUCAUGGCUGCACGGUAUGUCAUUGAAUGCUGGCCUUAGGAUUUUGAAAAUAAGCCCUUAUUAACUGGUAGCUAUAGAUUGCUUUCAUUCAUUAAAAAAAUGAUUGAAGAACUAUCAUCUGCUGGAGAGUUUCAACUCCUACUCCUCUAGAAUGACCAAUUUGAAAACCAUGGAAAUGUAUGGGGUUUAAUUGCUAUGAUCUUAUCAGCAUUUCAGUUCAUUUAGAAAGGAUUUUAAUUUUACACAUUAAAAGAUACCAUCACUAAAUUAUUAGAUUUAGUCUCUCUAGGCGUUUAAUGGCUUUUUUCCUCCUUGAUAAUCCUAUAAAGUUUUUAUGUUGCCAAUCCAUUUUUAUUGGUCCUGGAUGAGGUCUUUUUAGUGUAAUUGAUAGUAUACAUCAAUAUGGUAGCGCCCUGUUCUACUACACCAAAGUAUAAAGAAGCAGCAUUAACUUAGCAUUGACUUAGAAAUAGUUUUAACAAGUCAUUUUCCUUUUAAAAGCCCUUGUUCGGCUGAAAUGACUUGUUUCAAGACCUUGAAAAAGCCUGGCUAAAAGGCUCACCUUCUCUUGCAGGAGAAACACAUCAUGCUUUCCAUUAUUUGUAAUUUUUAUAUGAAUAAAUCCAACCCAUCAGCUUCUUCAGGUGUUGAGAUUUAAGCCAUAUCUAGGUGAAAUUGAUGAUGCCUUCUGAAAUGUAAGGCAUUUUCUAUGAUCGGCUGUGUUUUAGGUUUUCACAUUGGCAUAAAUAGAUGUGGAAUUGCAGAAUCUUACUGAAAAGCACGAGAAGGUUAUAUAAUCUGUGAUAUGACACAGGGGUGUUCUUUCCUGACCCAUAGCUCCCUGCAGUCAGCAGAUUUCUGGAGAAAGGAAAUCACCACCCUGCUAGGCCAAUCAUUCCAUCUUGAAAAGAGUUUUCAAACUUUUAUGCUUAAAUAGAAGUAUCUCCUUUUUAAGUUCUAGUCUACCAGCUCUUUGGGUGACCAUGGGUUAAGCUAAAGGCAAAUGAGAUGGGGCUCCAGGGAGAUUAACUGCGAGGUCUCACUCUCUGAUAAGACCUGUUUCUUUAGCCUUGAGUCCCAUUCUGUGACUCAAUAACUACCCUAACCCUAAAAAUGCUUUUCCAGUUGACCACGUCAGGAGACCUCUGAUCUGUAUCAUAGAGACCAGACUUGUGGCCUUGACCUUAAUCUGAUGCUGUAUUUAAAACUGCUUCUUUCUCCUCAUUGGGCCUUAGCUCACAGAUCUCCUAUGAUGGUGGGCAUGAAUGAAUGACAGUUUUCUGUAGCCUUCCCCUACUGAAUUAAAAAAUGCUGAUGGACCUUAACCCUAACUGGAUGGCACUCGAGGCCGUGAGAUUUAGUGCCAGCAAAGGCUGACAUGUCUAGUGGCACAACAGUACCAGGUUUUCUCAGCUUGACCCUUAGGCCACUUCAGUCUGCACAUGUGUCGCAAACUAUGUUUUAACAUAACUAGAAAGUGAACAUUUUUAACAAAAAAUGUGGCUUUCAACUUCACUGCCUGCCCUACCUCUUCCUAGUCUGGUCUUCUUCCUCCCUGAUCCGCACCUUAGUGUCCCUUAAGACUCACUGCAUGUUUAGAAAAAGUGUAACUCGCUGCCAGGGUUCAUUUAAUUUCCCAUAUAACACCCUGUGAGGGAGAAACAAAGAAGAUUGGUUUUCACGAUGAAAUGAAACACAAAUACUGUUCUUGGAGCUAUUUCUAAACAGAACUUGCCUCUAAUUCCAGUAUACCAAAAAUGUAUGUGAUGGUCAGUAUUUAAUAAUUUUUCUGCAUGUGGUAAAUUUCAAAGCACAGAACAACACAAAGCUAAACAUUAUCUUUUGCACAGAAGAGUGCAUUUCUCUCCACGUUUUCCUGCAGUACAUGUUACUGUGCCAGCAAGAGAUGUUGGAGUGACCAAACUUUGCAGAGUGAUGUGAAAAUAAUAAAAGUGAGAUAUUUUGUGGCAAACUUUAAAGGUAAGUUUGGGGCUAUAAUCUGUGAGUUCUCUUGGGAUAAAUGCUGUAGCUGCAAGCACCACUGGCAGUACAAACAGGCAGAGAGUUUUAAUAAUCUCUGAAGGCCUUUCAGUUUGAGAUGCCAAGUAUACUGUCAACCCUGUUGCCGUAUCUCUGAAUCCUUGGCAUGUCUGCUUACAGAUAUCGAUAUCACUCGCGUAUACAGAUUUUUAAAACUUGUUGACAGAGUGAUAUUAAGCUGCACAUCACUACAAAGCCUGGCCUCCUAAAUAAUAGCAACUGUUGAUCUUAACUUGGGGUUGGCAUGAGAGCAAAGCUGUGCCGUAGAUCAACAAUUGACUUUCAAGCUUUGGAGAAAUGGUUCGGUCUCGGGAUGAGGUCUUCUCCCUCUGAACUUUGUAAACAUUUAUUCCCUCAUUUUUGCUCUCAUCUUUAGGGAAAAUAAAUGGUAUAAAUAAAAAUUGUAUUUGCAAAAGUGUUUGUGUCAUAAGCUUGGUAUUCAGCACGAGCAACAUGGCCAUUGCAUGUCUCUGUGGACAAGGCAGAAAGGAGCUAAACUCUGGGCAUUUUUUAGGCACUGAGGUCGGUGUGCAGACAGAGGCCAAUUAGCAAAGCUUCUCAAAGAGUUCUGAAAACCAGUCAGAGCUGUGCUUGCCUAGGGGCUGAGCAACCGGAGAGGACACACAGAGGUUUCUUGUGGCUUGAAUUCCUUCCUUGGGUAGAGAUUGUCUGGAGACAUUGCCUCUCUACCUCCAACUGAUCCUGAGGCUCAGACAAAAGAACAGAAGAACUGCAUCAGGACAAAAGAAUCACCUGCAGCUGGAACAGGCAAGGAAAACAUGGGACACUGCUUCCACAGCAGCCUUCCACAAUCACCAGUGGCUCUGGAUUUGAUCCAUGUUCCCAGUCUCCAGUAUAUCACAUUUCUCCAAGAUUUAUGGAUGUUUUCUCUGUCAGGAGCACUCGCUGGUGGAUUACCAGCAGCCUUGAGUUUCAACAACCUGAAACUGGUCUAGAAACUAGAGAAGAGAAACAACUAUGGCUAACACAUUCCAGAGACAUGAUGUCUAAAAGCAGAAGAGACUAAAGAUGUUUUCCUUGAAACCUAUGCGAAGUUAUCUUCCCUCCAUCCACAUGGCUCUCAGGAACUCAUAGCAAUGGCUCCACGGGAAAUUGAGCCUGAUUGGGGAUAUUUAGAGUUAAAUGUUACUGUGUUAAAGUGAGCCCUUUAGCAGAUGGCCAGAUAAAUUUGUUUUAUACAGUU